CCUACGGGUGGCUGCAGUGGGGGAUAUUGCACAAUGGGCGCAAGCCUGAUGCAGCCAUGCCGCGUGUGUGAAGAAGGCCUUCGGGUUGUAAAGCACUUUCAGCGGGGAGGAAGGCGGUGAGGUUAAUAACCUCAUCGAUUGACGUUACCCGCAGAAGAAGCACCGGCUAACUCCGUGCCAGCAGCCGCGGUAAUACGGAGGGUGCAAGCGUUAACCGGAAUUACUGGGCGUAAAGCGCACGCAGGCGGUCUGUCAAGUCGGAUGUGAAAUCCCCGGGCUCAACCUGGGAACUGCAUUCGAAACUGGCAGGCUAGAGUCUUGUAGAGGGGGGUAGAAUUCCAGGUGUAGCGGUGAAAUGCGUAGAGAUCUGGAGGAAUACCGGUGGCGAAGGCGGCCCCCUGGACAAAGACUGACGCUCAGGUGCGAAAGCGUGGGGAGCAAACAGGAUUAGAUACCCCUGUAGUC
rnacentral:rRNA from 1 species